CUGAGUUCGGGGGCAAUCCCAGUCCCGACCUCCAACCCUUUGUGAACUUACCUUGUUGUUUCGGGGGCGACCCUGCCGUUCGCGGCAUUCCCCCCGGAGGUCAUCAGAACACUGCAUUAUUACGUCGGAGUAAAAAGUUAAUUUAAUA
rnacentral:misc_RNA from 1 species